AUUAGAUGAGCCCGCGUAAGAUUAGCUAGUUGGUGGGGUAAGUGGCCUACCAAGGCGACGAUCUUUAGCUGGUCUGAGAGGAUGAUCAGCCACACUGGGACUGAGACACGGCCCAGACUCCUACGGGAGGCAGCAGUGGGGAAUAUUGGACAAUGGGCGCAAGCCUGAUCCAGCCAUGCCGCGUGAGUGAUGAAGGCCUUAGGGUUGUAAAGUCCUUUCAGAUGGGAAGAUAAUGACGGUACCAUCAGAAGAAGCCCCGGCUAACUCCGUGCCCAGCCGCCGCGGUAAU
rnacentral:rRNA from 1 species